AAACUAUAACACACUUAAGGUGAACUAUCGAUGCACCUCAGGUCAAAGAACUAGACACACAGCUGCAGCUUCGAGCUAGUCAUCGAUGAGAAGAUAGACUUCCUUAUGACUGCUCGAUAUGGUCACGUUCAGUCCUCUCAUUCUCAAUGAAUACCUGUACUCUCACUCUGGUGUCUCCACACCAUAGACUCAAGACACAUCUACCCUAAGAAAUUGAUCAUACACCAACCUUCCAGAUCGAUCACCAUUCUCGUAAUGAUCCUAUGGUCAGGAGCUGCUUAUGAGUUAGUUAUGUAAAUUUAUGCCUUAAAUUUUCAACUCUUGAAAAUAUGAAUUGACAUUUCUACUAACUCAAAGGAUGUAUCACAGACACAAUGUACACAAUGUGAUAGAAGAAUAAUCUAUUUAUUGAUUUAUAGUCAAAAUUAUAAAUUUGUUCUUAGAUUUAUAUAGGAAUGUGUUAGCUAAUCUGGCAUCUAGGGUACACAUGUAAAAAUCAGCCACUUCGCUAUCAAGCA
rnacentral:lncRNA from 1 species